rnacentral:rRNA from 1 species
AGUGAACGCUGGCGGUAGGCCUAACACAUGCAAGUCGAACGGCAGCACAGUAAGAGCUUGCUCUUACGGGUGGCGAGUGGCGGACGGGUGAGGAAUACAUCGGAAUCUACUUUUUCGUGGGGGCUAACGUAGGGAAACUUACGCUAAUACCGCAUACGACCUACGGGUGAAAGCAGGGGAUCUUCGGACCUUGCGCGAUUGAAUGAGCCGAUGUCGGAUUAGCUAGUUGGCGGGGUAAAGGCCCACCAAGGCGACGAUCCGUAGCUGGUCUGAGAGGAUGAUCAGCCACACUGGAACUGAGACACGGUCCAGACUCCUACGGGAGGCAGCAGUGGGGAAUAUUGGACAAUGGGCGCAAGCCUGAUCCAGCCAUACCGCGUGGGUGAAGAAGGCCUUCGGGUUGUAAAGCCCUUUUGUUGGGAAAGAAAAGCAGCAGGUUAAUACCCCGCUGCUCUGACGGUACCCAAAGAAUAAGCACCGGCUAACUUCGU